UAAUCAUGGCGCACAAGCCGCAAAAGCCAAAAAAGCCGCACAUUGCGAAAUCGGAAAGUGCCACGCGUUUAGUGGCUGCAACUGCAGCAGCAACUGCAACUGCAGCAGCAACAUCACAGCGGCAACAUCAAGCUGCAACGGCAGCCACGCCAACAAGUGGGGCAAUCAGUCGAUGAAUCGCUUUGGGUAACUCCACUAUUGAGGCUUCAUUUUACUGACUUGACUAAAGAUUAAGGAUUAAGUAAAAGGUUAUAAGAAUCAGUGGCUAACCAGAAAUCAAAGAGAUCUCAACUGGUAUAAAAAUAUGAAUUACUUGCUACAAUUACUAAAGCUACAAAGAUUUCACCAUAAUACGUGUAAUAUUUGGCCUACGUAGCACUGAACUCAGUGUGUCGGCACUUUUAUGAUCUCUUACCUAAUGGAUCUGAGUUCUUAUCGACACUAUUAACUCACACGUUCCCGUUCCUUGUGUGCCAGACAAGAAGUAUCAAAGUCUUAGCAUCGCAUUUAUCAACCCUAAUCGAUCUGCACACAACAAAUUGCGAUUGCAUUGUCCAACCUGGGGGACUUUACCCAGAUAUAUGGUAUAUAUGGUGGUAAUGUAUAUAUAAUAUAUAUUCACAUUCUAUCGUGUCUGGGCGUCUACUUCCUGCCGUUGCACUUGGCACUCAACACUCGGCACUUGCUGCAGCCGGGGGUUCAUUCAAAUGCCCGAUAUCGGUGCUGUAAAUGAGCAAACAAUUGCGCUUGUCAAAUGACAUAAUCCGUCCAUAAAUAUGGUAUAAACAGUAUGGAAUCGAGUUCUAUCUACUGCAGUUGCUGUUCUUGCUCUACCGUAUUCGUAUGCGUCACAAGACGACGUCAGCUGCAAGGCAGUAGUGCACUGAGAAAAAAGACCUGCAAGUUUGCCAUAUAUUCAAUAUCUACGAUCAUUUCCCUGCACUCCCAGCUAAACAAAAGAAUGGACUGUGGAGGGGAACAGACUGGAGCAAGUGAGCUAGUUACACCAUCGCCACAAUGGGCCGUCGGCGUGACAAGUGCAAUCAGUGCUGAUACAAAUUAAUUACGACGCAGACAGAGCGCAGACGAAUCGCUAUAUAUAUAUAUAUGCACCGAUAUCGCGUGGGGAGAUCUCGGCUUGACAUUGGCAUCUCAACGGCAAGAAGAGAAGCCCGCCAAGUGGCCGGCGGCGAAGUGGCGUAGCAAGUGCCGUAAUCCGAGACAGCCACAGCCAUAUCCACAUCCGAGAGACGCCGCCACCGAUCGCGGCAUCUUCGCAGCUGCAACAUGAAUAUACAUAUAUAUAUGCAUACAUGUAUGACAAACAGGAAGUAAUCACUCUCCUUUGCAUGCGAACGAUUUACAAUAAAUAAUUAUGAUAAUGCUGCUCUGCUGCUGCUGGCGAUGCCAGUGAUGAAUGCCAGCUCAAACGACCGGAAGGAAGUGUUUGCACUUGUUAAUGGAUCCCGGAUCCACAAUCCUCAGUCCCAAGUGCCCAAGUGCCCCAUCUCCGAUCUGCGAUCUGCAAUCUGCAAUCUCAGCGGCGCAAGAUCAUCGUGUCUGAAUUGGCAACACCUUCGGGUAACAAAGCAAAAUGGGCGGGCUUCUUUGGGAGCGGGGGGCGUGGUUAGAGCCAUAAAAGUCGGAACUUGAGCUAUCUGGUAAAUCAGCAAUUAGGUUAUAAUAGUGAAAAAGGGCUUAAGUGCCGCCUGCCGUUUGAAGCAAAUGCAAAAGCAAGUGGGCUGGACAUUAAAGUUAAUUACCUCAUAUAUUCGGCACUUAAAGCUCCGAAACUGUUGUAUAUAUAAUUAUUUAUGGUAAUUUCAGCAAUUGCGAAAUUGUAGCAAUUCAUUCAUUUUUAAAUGCUCAUCAGUAAAUGUGUAUAUAGAUUUUUUUGUAGAACCCGAUGGAGAUUUCGAGCCCAAAAAACGUAGUACUGCAAAGUGAAAUAAAUGGUUAAAGUCAAAAAAU